AACGAACGCUGGCGGCAUGCCUAACACAUGCAAGUCGAACGAGACCUUCGGGUCUAGUGGCGCACGGGUGCGUAACGCGUGGGAACCUGCCUUUAGGUUCGGAAUAACUCAGAGAAAUUUGAGCUAAUACCGGAUAAUGUCUUCGGACCAAAGAUUUAUCGCCUUUAGAUGGGCCCGCGUUGGAUUAGCUAGUUGGUGGGGUAAAGCCUACCAAGGCGACGAUCCAUAGCUGGUCUGAGAGGAUGAUCAGCCACACUGGGACUGAGACACGGCCCAGACUCCUACGGGAGGCAGCAGUGGGGAAUAUUGGACAAUGGGCGAAAGCCUGAUCCAGCAAUGCCGCGUGAGUGAUGAAGGCCUUAGGGUUGUAAAGCUCUUUUACCCGAGAUGAUAAUGACAGUAUCGGGAGAAUAAGCUCCGGCUAACUCCGUGCCAGCAGCCGCGGUAAAGUGACUACUG
rnacentral:rRNA from 1 species